AAAUAUUUAAUAUUUUUGUUUAAAUAUAUUUAUCUAUUACUAUUUAUUAAUAUUAGAUAUUUAGAUAUUUAGUAAUUUUAACAUAUAUUAACAUAUAAUUCAUUACAAUUAAUAAAUAAUUUUUAUUAAAAUACAUAUUAAAAUAUAUAAUAUAUA
rnacentral:tRNA from 1 species